ACUCCUACGGGAGGCAGCAGUGGGGAAUAUUGCACAAUGGGGGGAAACCCUGAUGCAGCCAUGCCGCGUGUGUGAAGAAGGCCUUCGGGUUGUAAAGCACUUUCAGUAGGGAGGAAGGUGGGUAUGUUAAUAGCAUAUUCAUUUGACGUUAGCUGCAGAAGAAGCACCGGCUAACUCCGUGCCAGCAGCCGCGGUAAUACGGAGGGUGCGAGCGUUAAUCGGAAUUACUGGGCGUAAAGCGCAUGCAGGUGGUUUGUUAAGUCAGAUGUGAAAGCCCGGGGCUCAACCUCGGAAUUGCAUUUGAAACUGGCAAAACUAGAGUACUGUAGAGGGGGGUAGAAUUUCAGGUGUAGCGGUGAAAUGCGUAGAGAUCUGAAGGAAUACCAGUGGCGAAGGNGGCCCCCUGGACAAAGACUGACGCUCAGAUGCGAAAGCGUGGGGAGCAAACAGGAUUAGAUACCCUGGUAGACUGU
rnacentral:rRNA from 1 species